UACCUUUAAAUGAAAGAAAUACGGGUGG
rnacentral:sRNA from 1 species